GACGAACGCUGUUGGCGUGCCUAACACAUGCAAGUCGAGCGAAGUGAGUACUACGGUACGAACUUAGCGGCGGACGGGUGAGUAACGCGUGGACAAUCUACCCUGUAGACUGGGAUAACACCUCGAAAGGGGUGCUAAUACCGGAUAAUGUCGAGAAGCGGCAUCGCUUUUCGAAGAAAGGAGAGAAUCCGAUAAAGGAGGAGUCCGCGUCCCAUUAGCUAGUUGGCGAGGGUAACGGCCCACCAAGGCGACGAUGGGUAGCCGGCCUGAGAGGGUGAACGGCCACACUGGAACUGAGACACGGUCCAGACUCCUACGGGAGGCAGCAGUGGGGAAUAUUGUGCAAUGGGGGAAACCCUGACACAGCAACGCCGCGUGAGCGAAGAAGGCCUUCGGGUUGUAAAGCUCAAUAGUAUGGGAAGAUAAUGACGGUACCAUACGAAAGCCCCGGCUAACUACGUGCCAGCCGCCGCCGUAAAAC
rnacentral:rRNA from 1 species